ACGAGUUAAUGUGUUUACGUGUACAUACUCAAAAAGCGUCACAGCGCAAAACAAAUACAAAAGUUUGGCGCCUCUUUCUUCUUCAUCCGUUGCCUUCAAACCCAAGCUGCCAUGUCCAUGUAGCAACGCAGAGUUCUAAGCUAUUAAAGCCAAAAUCGAAAAAUGAAGAAUGUCCAGAUACCCAAAUUCAAAUCAUUGAUCUCGUUAAAAGAAACUGAAGCAAAUCCCCUAUUAUGGCCGCCAAAAUUUUCUUCACUGUCAUCAUCUUUACAACAAUAUAUCAAUUCAGACACUCCUAUUUUCGGCCAAAAGAUUCAUUCAUACAUUUUGAAAACUGGAUAUCAACCCAAUACUAAUAUAUGUAUCAAAUUGUUAAUACUUUACUUGAAAAGUUCUUGUCUUUUUUAUGCCCGCCAAGUGUUUGAUGAAAUGCGUCAACCAACUCUCUCUGCUUAUAAUUACAUGAUUUCUGGGUAUGUGAAACAUGGGUUUGUUUUAGAAUGUUUUAAUAUGGUUAGAAAGUUGUGUCUUUGUGGUGAAAGUCCAGAUAAGUUUACGCUAUCAAUGAUUUUGAAGGGGUCUACUGUUAGCUAUGCAGAGUCGUAUUCUCUGGAUAUUGGAAAACAGGUUCAUGCCCAGGUGAUUAAAUGUGAUGUUGAGGGUGAUGAUGUGCUUUAUACUGGGUUAGUUGAUUCAUAUGUGAAGAGUGGGAGGGUGGAUUAUGCGAGGAGAGUGUUUGAUUUGAUGUUGGAUAGGAGUGUUGUUUGCUCGACGUCAUUGAUAACAGGGUAUAUGAAUCAGGGUUAUUUUGAGGAUGCUGAAGAUGUGUUCAGUAAAACAAUGGAGAAAGAUGUUGUGGUGUUCAAUGCGAUGAUUGAAGGUUAUAGUAAACAGAUUGAAAAUGCUAAGAAGGCGAUUGAGGUUUAUAUUGACAUGCAACGUUUCGGUUUUAGGCCUAAUAUUUCUACUUUUGCAAGUAUUAUUGGGGCUUGUUCUGCUCUAGCAGCAUUUGAAAUUGGUCAACAAGUUCAAGGACAGCUGAUGAAGACUGAGUUAAUUGAGCACGUUAAAAUUGCAAGUGCUUUAAUUGACAUGUAUUCUAAGUGUGGAUUGGUUGAGGACGCAAGAAGAGUCUUUGACCACAUGCAUGAGAAGAAUGUCUUCUCAUGGACUUCCAUGAUUGACGGUUACGGGAAAAAUGGGUAUCCCGAUGAGGCACUUGAACUAUUUAGUAUAAUGCAAGAAGAUCAUCACAUUGUUCCAAAUUAUGUUACAUUUCUAAGUGCUCUCGCAGCUUGUGCGCAUUCCGGACUAGUUGUAAAAGGAAGAGAGAUUUUUGAAAGUAUGGAGAGAGAUUACUAUAUGAAGCCAAGGAUGGAGCAUUAUGCUUGCAUGGUUGAUCUCUUUGGACGCUCAGGGAGCUUAAAUCAGGCAUUAGAGUUUGUAAUUAAUAUGACUGAAAGGCCAGAUUCUGAUGUUUGGGCAGCUUUACUCAGUUCUUGUAGAGUGCAUGGAGAUGUGGAAUUGGCUAAUUUAGCUGCCAAUGAGCUUUUCAAGCUAAGUAGUGGUAGUCGUCCAGGGGCAUAUGUUGCACUAUCUAAUGCUCUUGCGGAUGCUGGUAGAUGGGAUGGUGUGAGUGAACUUAGGGAGAUUAUGAAGAUUAGAGGAAUAUCAAAGGGCACAGGUUUCAGUUGGGUUGGCAGUGAUGGUAGUUUGAAAGCUUUUUUUGCUGGACAACAGACAUAACUAAAGUUUAAGAUCUCCAGAGCCUGGUAGUAAAGAAAGGCAUCGUUGCCAAUCUGAAGCGACUUAACCAUGCCUGAACAAGAAGAUAGAAAAUUGACACGUGACUUGUUGAAGUUACACAAAUGGAAAUUAUACCUCCUCAGCUGCAUGGUUUGGCUUUCUUCACCCUUGUACAAGGAUUCAAGUUCAUAUACUUGAGUUUGUUUCUAUCUCCUUCAAGGAUUUAAUUCUUUUAUUGUUCCUAUCUUUCAAAAUCAAGUCUCCCGCUAUCCGCACUUGUGUCAGGGGUGAAGAGAAAUAAUUUAUUCAUAUUCAAAUCAUUCUAGCAGAGUCUGCUAGUGAGAGAGGAGUCCACUUUCCCGCAUUUAUCGAUCAGGAUCCUCAAGGCACCAAGAAGGCAUUGACAGGGACAUAAUGUGAUGCUUCUGUUAAGGAUUUGUGGAACUAAAUAUUCUAUGCUUGGAUGUUGGAAUUUGCUGUUUCAUAAUUGUGAAAUUAUCAAGAGGACGAAACUUAUCAGUGCACAUUGUGAAAUUGCUGUCUCAUGAUUGUGAAGUUGGAAGUUACACGCUUAAGGUCUCUUAGUUCAUGAAUAUUGGGGCCAUCAGAAGUUAUUCCCGCAUGUUGUUGGAUAAAAAAACAGUCUACGUUUCUUCUCACAUAUGAUAUUUAUCCUGAGCUAGUAACAAGUUCUAGUUUUAACUGCAUGUUGUUUACUAACCAUUGUUCUUAUGCAUAAAUAGGAUUCAUAGAGGGUAGUCCGAUGAUGCUGUCAUUUACAUACUGGUGUAUGGCAUUAAAGGUAUUUAUUUCCACUUGUGAACUUCGUACAAAGUUGUGCUAUUAGUUUUUUCUGCAGUUCAUUGCGUCUCCUGUUCUUAUACCUUAAUAGAAGAAGUAUCUGAAGAUAGUUCAUCUUACUUGUUCAAUGAAGAAGCUGGCGUCAAUAGUGACUAGCCUCAAGGCUGGCUAUACACUAAAAGUGCUGGAGGAAACAAUGGUGUAGAUUUAAGAUGGAGACACAGGCUUUAAUUAGCUUUCUCUAUAUAGAAGAAAAGUUGAUCUUUAGAAAUACUGGCAAAUUCCAUGAUUUGUUUGAAAAAGAAAAGCCAAAAGUAAUGAGUCAAUAAACAAUGAGAAAAACUUGUUGAUUGCACUACGUUCAUUUUAUUGAAACUGAGUCUCUGGCAUUUAAUUCUUUUUUGCCUUUCUAUGUAGUGAUCAAUGAAAUGCCAAAGCUUGUUUUAGGGCUUAAAAAUUACACCAGUUUAAGGGAUUUAUUCCUGAUUCUU